rnacentral:rRNA from 1 species
GAUGAACGCUGGCGGCGUGCCUAAUACAUGCAAGUCGAGCGGUAAGGUCCCUUCGGGGGUACACGAGCGGCGGACGGCUGAGUAACGCGUAGGAACGUACCCCAAAGUGAGGGAUAAGCACCAGAAAUGGUGUCUAAUACCGCAUGUGAUCCACGGAGUAAAGCUUCGGCGCUUUGGGAACGGCCUGCGUAAGAUUAGCUAGUUGGUGAGGUAAUGGCUCACCAAGGCGACGAUCUUUAGCUGGUCUGAGAGGAUGAUCAGCCAGACUGGGACUGAGACACGGCCCAGACUCCUACGGGAGGCAGCAGUAGGGAAUUUUCCACAAUGGACGAAAGUCUGAUGGAGCAACGCCGCGUGCAGGAUGAAUGCCUUCGGGUUGUAAACUGCUUUUAUAGGUGACGAAUAUGACGGUAGCCUAUGAAUAAGCUUCGGCUAAUUCCGUGCCAGCAGCCGCCGUAA